UACGUAGGGUGCAAGCGUUGUCCGGAAUCAUUGGGCGUAAAGAGCGUGUAGGCGGCCCGGUAAGUCCGCUGUGAAAGUCCAGGGCUCAACCCUGGGAUGCCGGUGGAUACUGUCGGGCUCGAGUCCGGAAGAGGAGUGUGGAAUUCCUGGUGUAGCGGUGAAAUGCGCAGAUAUCAGGAGGAACACCAAUGGCGAAGGCA
rnacentral:rRNA from 1 species